rnacentral:rRNA from 1 species
GUGGGGAAUUUUGGACAAUGGGCGCAAGCCUGAUCCAGCAAUGCCGCGUGCAGGAAGAAGGCCUUCGGGUUGUAAACUGCUUUUGUACGGAACGAAACGGCUCUGGUUAAUACCUGGGGCUAAUGACGGUACCGUAAGAAUAAGCACCGGCUAACUACGUGCCAGCAGCCGCGGUAAUACGUAGGGUGCAAGCGUUAAUCGGAAUUACUGGGCGUAAAGCGUGCGCAGGCGGUGUUGUAAGACAGGCGUGAAAUCCCCGGGCUCAACCUGGGAAUUGCGCUUGUGACUGCAAAGCUGGAGUGCGGCAGAGGGGGAUGGAAUUCCGCGUGUAGCAGUGAAAUGCGUAGAUAUGCGGAGGAACACCGAUGGCGAAGGCAAUCCCCUGGGCCUGCACUGACGCUCAUGCACGAAAGCGUGGGGAGCAAACAGGAUUAGAUACCCGUGUAGUCC